AAUGAACGUUGGCGGCGUGGAUUAGGCAUGCAAGUCGAGCGAGAACCGUAGCAAUACGGGGACAGCGGCGCAAGGGACAGUAAUGUGUAGAUCAUCUGCCCUCAGGACCGGGAUAGCUGCGGGAAACUGCAGGUAAUACCGGAUAACAUCUCCGGAUCAAAGGUGUGAUUCCGCCUGAGGAUGAGUCUACAUCCUAUUAGCUAGUUGGUAGGGUAACGGCCUACCAAGGCGAUGAUGGGUAGCGGGUGUGAGAGCACGACCCGCGUCAUUGGGACUGAGGCACUGCCCAGACACCUACGGGUGGCUGCAGUCGAGAAUCUUCGGCAAUGGGCGCAAGCCUGACCGAGCGAGGCCGCGUGUGGGAUGAAGGCCUUCGGGUUGUAAACCACUGUUAGAGGGGAUGAAAUGCAGGUGGGUUCUCCCAUUUGUUUGACAUAGCCUCAGAGGAAGGACGGGCUAAGUUCGUGCCAGCCGCCGCCGUAACAC
rnacentral:rRNA from 1 species